UGCCGGCGACCGGCGCACGGGUGCGUAACGCGUAUACAAUCUGCCUUGUGCUGGGGGAUAGCCUUUAGAAAUGAAGAUUAACACCCCAUAGUAUGUAAAGUUCGCAUGGAUUUUACAUUAAAGGUUACGGUACAAGAUGAGUAUGCGUCCUAUUAGCUAGAUGGAGUGGUAACGGCACCCCAUGGCAACGAUAGGUAGGGGCCCUGAGAGGGGGAUCCCCCACACUGGUACUGAGACACGGACCAGACUCCUACGGGAGGCAGCAGUGAGGAAUAUUGGACAAUGGAGGCAACUCUGAUCCAGCCAUGCCGCGUGCAGGAAGACUGCCCUAUGGGUUGUAAACUGCUUUU
rnacentral:rRNA from 1 species